rnacentral:lncRNA from 1 species
UUUUUGAAGUAAAUCCAUAUUAGCACUUGAAGGGUUUGGAUGAAUUGAAUUUGAUUGAUGACUUGGAUGCUCCAUUAUGAGAUUCUUAUGGUGUAAGCAAGUGGAGUUUGCAGAGCAUAUUUAGAUUCAUGACAGAAUGUUUAUAAACAGUAGAGGUUUGAAAUGGUUUCCUAUAAUGGUAGUUUCCAAAAAAAAGUGCAGCACAUAUGAAUAGCGGGAACAUUUGAUUUUUCAUCUUAGAAUGAAA